rnacentral:lncRNA from 1 species
GUACAUCUCACAUAAGAAGUUCCAAACUGUCAAUUUAUGUGGGUCAUUUGGUUAGGUGAAACAUUUAUUGGCUAAUCAACAAACCACAGGAACGCGUAAACAUCCACUUGAAUAUAUCGCUGCUGUAUUUUAUCUGGUGACGAAGACAUCACAAGUCACAGCUUUGAAGAGGAUUUGACAUCAAGGAGCGGUUGGAGAUCUGAUCUACCGGCCUUUGAGGCAGGAUCCAUGUGGAAAGGAAGUCAGCAGGAAGAACUAGAAGGACUUAACUGGCUGGAAGACGUCUCUGUCCCAUCUCUUCAAGCCUGGAGUCCCUGUGUUCUCUCCGCAUUCAAGCCUGCUCUCAGGAGAUGGUGCCUUGUCCAGGAAACCUGCAGCGGUUACAUAACAAAGCAGAGGUCCUCUAUUCCAGCAAUCCAGGUCCUGCUGCAAGCUUGGAGCAGUUACAGAUAUUAUAAAGCUAUCAGUAGAAACUUGAUCGCUCCACACAAAGAGCCUGGAAGCAAUUGUCAUGUUAAGUGGAAAAUAGCAGAGGAAGGAAGAAGUGAAAGAGUAUUAAAAAUACAAUAA